UCGACCUGAGAUUAGGUAAGACUACGCGCCGAAUUUAAGCAUAUUAAUAAGCGCAGGAAAAGAAAACAACUGUGAUUCCCUUAGUAAUGGCGAAUGAAACGGGAUUAGCCCAUCGCGGAACUGCAGGUCACCUUGGCCUUGCGGAAUGUCGCGUUCGGGAGAGUCUUAUCGAGUUCUUUACAGCCAGUCCAAGUCCAACUUGACUGUGGCCACUGCCCAUAGAGGGUGAUAGGCCCGUAAGGCGGCUGUUUGUUCUCGCCGACUUUUCCCUAGAGUCGGGUUGCUUGGGAGUGCAGCCCAAAGUGUGAGGUAAACUCCUCAUAAGGCUAAAUAUCACACCGAGACCGAUAGCAAACAAGUACCGUGAGGGAAGAUUGAAAAGAACUUUGAAGAGAGAGUUCAAUAGUACGUGAAACUGUGUGGUGGUAAACGGAGGGGUUCUCGAAGUUUCUGUGGGGUACUCAACCUUGGUGGUUUUCAGCCUUGUCGUCUUUGAUCAGCAAUGACUUUGCGGCUUGUCUUGUUUUCCUCCCGGGUGCAUUUCCCCCGCAGUUUACGACAGGAACCGUUUGGGUCAGACCGAAGGCCUUGGGUGAAGUUGUCGGUUCUGCUGGCAGCCCCGAUCUCCUGGCUCUGACCCAGACGGGUACGUGAGAGGACUCGUAUAGCGAGCAAUGCUCUGUGC
rnacentral:rRNA from 1 species